rnacentral:tRNA from 1 species
GGGGUUAUAGUUUUAUAAAAAUAUAUAAUUUGCAAUUAUAAGAAAUCAAAAAAGAUUAUCCUCA